CAGUCUCAGCAGCAGCCGCGCGGUCCAAUAUGGCGGACAAAAUUCUUGCUCUCCAUCCUCCAUUCACGAAAAAAUUCUACAUUUCUAACAACCAAAGUUGAAGAUAAUAGAAAGACUCUUGAGACCCAUGGGAGGACAUUCAAUGAUGUUGGGCUGAUACAAUUUAGCGAUUUUCUUUUUCAAAGAGCUCAAUUACGAAAGUCAAUGUGCUUGUUGAUGCCGAUUUGCAAAGUGUGUUUGGCAACCUCACUUCUGACUUUUCCCCAAAAGUCUCCCAAGAAUGUUCCUCUUGGGAUGUCAUGCUUUGCAGUCAAACUGGA